rnacentral:rRNA from 1 species
UACGGAGGAUCCGAGCAUUAUCCGGAAUUAUUGGGUUUAAAGGGUGCGUAGGCGGCCAUUUAAGUCAGCGGUGAAAUUUUGCAGCUUAACUGUAACAGUGCCGUUGAUACUGGGGAGCUAGGAUUUGGUUGCUGUGGGUGGAAUGUGUGGUGUAGCGGUGAAAUGCUUAGAGAUCACACAGAAUAUCGAUUGCGAAGGCAGCUCACAAAGCCAAGAUUGACGCUGAGGCACGAAAGUGUGGGGAUCAAACAGGA